AAGGGAGUUUCUCGGGGGCUCGCCCCCUCCUCCCGUCCCUGAAAACGCGAGGCCCUCUGCUCUGUUACGUCGGCGGGCUUGUCCCGCCGCACAACGAGCACAAAACUCUGUUUUAACGUGUCGUCGUCUGAAGAGAGCGGAUAAUAAAUCA
rnacentral:misc_RNA from 1 species